CGGACGGGUGAGUAAUGUCUGGGAAACUGCCUGAUGGAGGGGGAUAACUACUGGAAACGGUAGCUAAUACCGCAUAACGUCGCAAGACCAAANAGGGGGACCUUCGGGCCUCUUGCCAUCAGAUGUGCCCAGAUGGGAUUAGCUAGUAGGUGGGGUAACGGCUCACCUAGGCGACGAUCCCUAGCUGGUCUGAGAGGAUGACCAGCCACACUGGAACUGAGACACGGUCCAGACUCCUACGGGAGGCAGCAUG
rnacentral:rRNA from 1 species